UACUUAAAAAAACCACAACAGUCUGUUUCACCCGUAUAGGAAUCAUCAGGUGGUUGAUUCCUAUACCGAUGAAACAGACUGUUGUGGUUUUU